rnacentral:rRNA from 1 species
AUGGCUUCUACCAAAGAAGCAUGUCAACACACACCCAUGGAUGGAUGGGGAUGGGGCGACGACGGCGGCUGUGGCGGCCUUCUCUCGGUGCUUGCUGAUGUGGUGGAUAUCGAUGUCGGUGACGGGUUGCAGCACGUAGAUGUCAAAGUUUCUGCAGGCUGCGGGUGUAACGGAGGAGCACCAUGGCGGGUGUGCAGGCCAUGGCUCGCUAUGGAAGGCCCUUCCCUUCCCUCUCUCUGUUCGGGCCAUGCUCAGGCACGACGACCUAUGGAAGGAAGGGGACGCCAACGACCUAUGGAAGGGAGGGAAGGGGAGGCCGGUGAAUUGGGGUAG